rnacentral:rRNA from 1 species
UACCAGCACCCCCGAGUGGUCGGGACGUUUAUUGGGCCUAAAGCAUCCGUAGCCGGUUCUACAAGUCUUCCGUUAAAUCCAACUGCUUAACAGGUGGGCUGCGGAAGAUACUAUAGAGCUAGGAGGCGGGAGAGGCAAGCGGUACUCGAUGGGUAGGGGUAAAAUCCGUUGAUCCAUUGAAGACCACCAGUGGCGAAGGCGGCUUGCCAGAACGCGCUCGACGGUGAGGGAUGAAGCUGGGGGAGCAAACCGG